UUAAUUACCGGCUUUGAGAAUAAUCGAGCAGAGAAGUUGAACCUGGAGCAGAUUGAAGGAUUUCGCCGUUCAGGUAGGCCGUCUUCUAAGAUCCCAGUUGUGGAUGGAUACAAGGACUGAUGAGCCACGGUGACAUGGAUCUGGGGCAUGAUGCCCCUCUAACUGCAGCCUCAGGCCAAUCUCCACCUGACCAUGGGAAUGUUGAGUUCAGCCAGACCUCUUGUCAACCAGCUACCUACAAGAACCACCUGUGUGAUGACACUGUUUAUUGUGUCAUCUUUUAUUUGUGAAGCAUUUUGAACACCAGUUAAACCAAGUCAUUCAGCUUUGUUCAUUCACUAAAUAAAGCUGAAUAGAAUUUAUUCAGGAAUUCACAAAGUCCCGGUUAGAUCCAACAUUGAUUGGAUUGCAUAUAUUUCAGUUACAGAAACAAUUUUUCUUGUAUAUGAAAGAAACUUUCAGAGACUUAAUGCUGUAAAUUGUACAAGGAAUGCUCUGCAUUAUUAAAAAUAUAAUU